UACGGGGGGGGCAAGCGUUGUUCGGAAUUACUGGGCGUAAAGGGCUUGUAGGUGGCCAACUAAGUCAGACGUGAAAUCCCACGGCUUAACCGGGGAACUGCGUCUGAUACUGGAUGGCUUGAGUGUGGGAGAGGGAUGCGGAAUUCCAGGUGUAGCGGUGAAAUGCGUAGAUAUCUGGAGGAACACCGGUGGCGAAGGCGGCAUCCUGGACCAUGACUGACACUGAAAAGCGAAAGCCAGGGGAGCAAACGGG
rnacentral:rRNA from 1 species